CCGCACAAGCGGUGGAGCAUGUGGUUUAAUUCGACGCAACGCGAAGACCUUACCUGGGCUUGACAUCCCGAUCGCACCUUAUGGAAACAUAGGGGUCAGUUCGGCUGGAUCGGUGACAGGUGCUGCAUGGCUGUCGUCAGCUCGUGUCGUGAGAUGUUGGGUUAAGUCCCGCAACGAGCGCAACCCUUGUCCUUAGUUGCCAGCAUUCAGUUGGGCACUCUAAGGAGACUGCCGGUGUCAAACCGGAGGAAGGUGGGGAUGACGUCAAGUCCUCAUGGCCCUUAUGUCCAGGGCUACACACGUGCUACAAUGGCCGGUACAAAGGGGCGCAAGACCGCGAGGUGGAGCAAAUCCCAUAAAACCGGUCUCAGUUCGGAUCGAGGUCUGCAACCCGACCUCGUGAAGCUGGAAUCGCUAGUAAUCGCGAAUCAGAAAUGUCGCGGUGAAUACGUUCUCGGGCCUU
rnacentral:rRNA from 1 species